GCGCCCGUAGCUCAAUGGAUAGAGUAUGGGUUUGCGGAACCCAGGAUCGAGGUCCGAUUCCUCGCGGGCGCG
rnacentral:tRNA from 1 species